rnacentral:lncRNA from 1 species
UGGUGGCGAAGUGCUCGUGCGGACUUCUGGCGGCGGUGUGGAGAUCGCGAGGGGGAGGGAGGUGAUCGUGAGGGGGAUUUGGGCAGCCUAACUAAUGGGUCCAAUUAUGAUGAUGUGGCCUAUUUAGAAAUAUUGAGGGGUAGUUAUUAGCGAUCUGCUGUGGGUUGAUAUGUUUUUGGGGGAAAUUUUUUUUUGGAAGGGCCCCUAAUAUAUAGUUUUGGGG